rnacentral:rRNA from 1 species
ACGAAUGUCUGCCCUAUCAACCCUCUAUAAUAGUUGACACGACUACCAUGGUUGUAACGGGUAACGGAGAAUCAGGGUUCGAUUCCGGAGAGGGAGCCUGAGAAACGGCUACCACAUCCAAGGAAGGCAGCAGGCGCGCAAAUUACCCACUCCCGGCACGGGGAGGCAGUGACGAAAAACAACAAUGCUGGGCUUCAAGGCUUGUAAUCGGAAUUAGUACACACACGCUAGUUUAACGAGGAUCGAGCGGAGGACAAGUCUGAUGACAGCAACUACGGUAAUUCCAGCUCCACGAGCAUGUACGUACAUUGCUGCAGUUGGAAAGCUCGUAGUUGGAUCUCAGGCCUGAGACCGGUGGUCCGCUCGAUACGGGUGUGCACUGCCUCGUCCGGUCUACGUCUGGUUAAAAAGUCCGCAGUGCCCUCAACCGGGUGCUACGGGAUGCCAGAAAGUUUACUCUGAAAAAAUUAGAGUGCUCAAAGCAAGCCGUUUGUGCUUGAAUACUGUUGCAUGGAAUAAUAGAAUAGGACCUCGGAUCUGUUUUGUUGGUUUUCGGAGUCGAGGUACUGAUUAAGAGGGACAGACGGGGGCAUUCGUAUUGCGCUGUUAGAGGUGAACGCCUUGGAUCGCCUCAAGAAGAACAUCUGCGAAAGCAUUUGCCAAGGAUGUUUUCAUUAAUCAAGAACGAAAGUCAGAGGUUCGAAGACGAUUCGUUAUCGGAAUAGACCAGACCAUAAACGAUGCCAACUAACGAACGGCCAUGCACCAGCUUAAAGGAAUCAAGAAAGAGCCUCCAGUCUGUCUAAGUCUAGCGGUUCCUGGGGAAGUAUGGUUUCCCGUGUUGAGCUUAAAUUAAGCGACGGCUCAACUCCACGGGGUGUGGAUCCUGCAACUUCCUUUAAGUUUACACUUGCAACCUCACCCGGCCCGGACACCAUAAGCAUUGGUUUCCCGGAGGCUGUUUCCUGAGUCCGUUAAUGCCAGAGCAUGGCCGUUCUUAGUUGGCAUCGUGAUUUGUCAGAAUAACGACGGUAUCUGACGAGACUCUAACC